rnacentral:lncRNA from 1 species
AUUUCUGUAUCGCAUCGCGGCGAGUUUCUAUUUCUUGGUAAUUCGGUUUGUGAAAUGACUAUUAAUUACAAGCACAGCAUCAUCAACGGUGAUUGCAAGGACUACUGCAAUCCCUGCGGUUUUUCCUCUUGGUAAAUGCGUUCUGGUCGUGACCAAGGGUGGUCUCCCAAUCGGCCGGGAAUAAGGCUAUUGUUGCAGAACAAAACGCCACAACCACCGCUGUGGUAAAUAUGUUCCAGCAGUACUGCCCACCGCCGUCGGUGUAAUGAUUUCGAUAGCUGAACAAACGCCAUCUCCUGGGCAUUCCCACAUGCCGACAAUAGCUAUUACAUAUAUCACGUGUGAAUGCAACUGCGGCUAAAUUUGGUUAUUAACAGUGCAAUAGUGCCAUGUCAUUGGCAAAAACACUAAGGGAUGCUGGCACAUAGAGGUUGUAAAGUUUUUGGAAUCGAUGAACUUACUCGAAGAAGACGAUGGUCGAAAACAUAUGAUGAAACAUCUUCUGGCGUGCCUUUGACAAUCAUUAAGUCAGACGGAGGCUUCACAUACGAUAUUUCACACAUGGCUGGAAUUCGUUAGCGGACAGAGCACACAUUUACCAAAUAUUUAUCGUUCUGCAGAACGUGCAUGCAUAUUCGAUUCCGAUUUAAUGGGUCGAUUACGGAGGACAACCGAACUUCAGUUGGUUGGCCAGUGGCUGAAAUGGUAUUACCGAUGGCAACUAGCAACUGAAAGCUGGAUAUUGGCACGAACUAAUCAAGGCUGUCAUAGAAUCCAUCAUAGUCCGAUUUUUCGUGAAAUCUACGAAAAUGCUAUUAAAUUCGAGUAGCUACGAACGCAGUGCUUGCUUUGAAUACACACGUUCAUAGCAGUUCAGAUUCAGUGAUCGCUUUUUUGUAGAUUUUAUGAAAAAUCGGACUACGAUGGAUUCCGCCACCAAUAUGUUUUCUCCUUUGACAAGAUGUUGCAGAAUCGCGGCAGCACAGCCCUAUACCUACCCUAUGCUCUUACGCGCAUAUGCUAAAUUUCUCGCACCUAGCUAAAGUGCUUGACAAAAGCUGAAAUUAGUCGAGAACGCAGAACGUAU